GGUUCCAUAGUGUAGUAGUCAUCACGUCUGCUUUACACGCAGAAGGUCCUGGGUUCAAUCCCCAGUGGAACUA
rnacentral:tRNA from 1 species